UACGUAGGGGGCGAGCGUUGUCCGGAUUUAUUGGGCGUAAAGAGCGUGUAGGCGGCCAGGUAGGUCUGCUGUGAAAACUCGAGGCUUAACCUCGAGCUGUCGGCGGAAACCAUCUGGCUAGAGUCCGGAAGAGGAGAAUGGAAUUCCCGGUGUAGCGGUGAAAUGCGCAGAUAUCGGGAAAAACACCCGUGGCGAAGGCGGUUCUCUGGGACGGUACUGACGCUGAGACGCGAAAGCGUGGGGAGCGAACAGG
rnacentral:rRNA from 1 species